CCAAACAAAUCCAAAAGAGCAAAGCAAAGUGCCCUGAAUCAGUGAUCCAAAAGCAAGAAGCAUCGACUCAUCAAAAACCCAUUGUACUGUUGGUUCGGUGGAUUGUAUCAGUAAAUUUCCAAAAUGGCAACACGUGCUGCAGGUUUGAUUCAAGAUCAGAAUUUAAGUGCUCAGUUUAAUGGCAAGACCAAUGUCUCUAAAGCACAUAGGACAGCUGGUAUUGGUGGAAAAAACCACUUGGUGAUCUAUCCAAUUCAGUGAACCAACCCC